GUUUGAAUAAAGAUGCUAUAGUUGGGCAGAAGAGAAAGUAGGUAGGGUUUCAGUUCCUGGACUAAGAGUCUGAGGAGGACCAAAAGGAAGAAGAGGGAAAAGAAGCUACGUAGAGAGGGGAGAAUAUGCUACAAGUUAGGAAGAACCAUGAAUGGAAGUACUAAAGUGUUGUUGGAAACCAAGGAGAUGAAAACUAAGGAUUUGUUAAGCUCUGAAAUGGAAUAUCUCAUGUAAGAAGGGUCUUUAUUCAUAUUAUAAAUAUAUUCAAAGAACAUGAAA